GGUGGGUUCGUAUAACGGUUAGUACCCAGGAUUUUCAUUCCUGUAAUAGGAGUUCGAUUCUCCUACCCACUA
rnacentral:tRNA from 1 species